UAAUUUAACAUGGGCUUUAUUGCCUUCAAACAUAAUCAAAUAUUCAACAUCAGAAGUCAAGAUCAACGGUGUCUUUGAUAAAUGUUUUGUGUACAACCAUACUCAUUCAUUAUGCUCCAUAAAGCAAUCAAUUUAAGGCAUGCACAGGCACAACGAGAGUCCGGUGUCAGGACACAGCAAUCAAUAAUAAGAGGACAUAAUGAAGUUGGUAUACUCAUGCUUACACCAUCCCCCGCCUUGCAGUUUCUCCUUUGUCUUAAAAAGAAAAAGCAAGAAGCAGGUCAUACUGAGCGAUACAAACAGUAGAUUACCAUGUAAAUACAAAAGAGAUUCAGAGGAUGAGACUAGAAAUAUAAAAAUACAAAGAUCAGGUUAUCAGGUGUUCAAAGAGCAUUUACAAAAGAAAUGAAAAUGAAAACUGGUGUAACAUAAAGAGUUAAAGUAGGCAUCAAAUGAACGGACCGUCACUAACUGCAGCUUCUAUACAGCAUGUACAGGCGUGUGUUCAAAAUGAGAAGCUCUUGAGAAACUUUUCAGUAUUUAAAUGACAAAAUGACAAAAGUCUUUUAGGUAUUUUGGAAAAAAUGUAACCUAAUUUCAUGACCACUGAUGAGUAAAUUAUGGCAUAGAAAUAAUUAGCUAAACAUAACAGAACAUACAGUACAGCCACACUGGUACUGGUUCAAAAUUAGCAUAACCGUAUUAAAUGUGAUUCUAUUUGCUUUGAAUACGAUUGUUUAAAAACAUGAGCACUAAUAAAAUUUAAGUGGUAAACAUGCAAAUGUAAUUUUUUUACUUUUUCUUGUUGGAAAGCAGAUUUCUAGCUAACUGCUGCUACUGAGUUUUAGAUUUUGUGCUAAGCUAAUCAUAUUCUGCAUCAUUUUAUUUAAAACAAUUCAAAUAAUUUCUCUAUGAAGAACCAGACACCGUCACCACAAAGCAGUUCGAUUUAAAUAUUUUCACACAUUAUAGUUUCGUGUCAGGAUUAACUAUUUAGCUAGCAAUGCGAAUGUUAGCUUCCUUGUAUUUAAUUAAACAUUGUGCCUAAAAACCCCACUGAAGAACAAUUCUCUGUCUGUUCAUAGUAAGAGUUAUUUUCUGUCAGUAUAGUGUCACAGAGUCACUUGAUCAUAUUAAACAUCAUUGUGGUUUCAUUUAAAGCAUGCAAAGCUUUUGUGCUAAGCUAAGCAAAUCCAAAAGUAUUUUAGAAACAUUUAUUUAAGUAAAUUUCAAACAAAUCGCAAAUUUUCUAAAUGAAAAGCAAAUUUAUAUAUUUUCAAGCAUUCUUUAGUAUCUAGAUUUGUUAGCUAGCAUGCCAGCCUCCCACACUUUGCAUUGUCAAAUAAAAUGUUAGCUUCCCGACUGAAGAACCUAGCUAUCUACUCACUGCAGACUCAUUUUCUGUAAAUUUAUAAUGUUAAGGAAUUAGAAGUUCAUAUUAAUCAUGGCCAAGUUUUCCAAAAACAAGUCAAACAUAUGCUUAUGGAUGUUUUCAACAUUGUGUUGACUUUUAUUUAAAUUUAUUUAUGUUACGAUAUCAUGGGAUUACAACUAAAAGCGCAGAAUUUAAGGCACGUUUCAGAUGUUCUGAGAUCAUCUUUUACUGGAUUGUUUUCAGAGUUUGAACUUUGGGGUCAUUCAUGUCAUCAAAUAUUAUCCGAAAACUUUUACAUUUAUUAUAUUAUGACAUCGUGCUGGGCACAGCCAAAAAACACCCCAAAGUAAGGCGAGUGUAGCUUGCUGCUGACCCUCAGCAGGCUUCCAGAAUCUGGCCAAUCAGAAGACAGUGGGUUUUAGCCGGAGGAGGCAUAAGAAAGAUUUCAAAAAGAUGAACCUAAAACAGCUAGUAUGGCAUCUUCUUAAAAAAAUAUUUUCUAAAUUAGAAAACAAGACUAUUUUACUAAUUGUUUCUUUAAAGAUGAUAAAUGCUGGUUACCAAAAUCUUCCUCAGAGCUUUUCAUUUCUCAGUGUAAGACAGCUUGAUUCUUAUAACACAGUUUCCUGUUUAAAUGUGUGUUGUAGAGAUUUUUCUAUUUACACGAGUUGUGCUGCUGGACAAAUGAAGAAACUUAUAGAUUUGUGGAAAUAUGUUCACAAUCAAAACCCUGCAUGUAGAUAUCGUAAUUACAAUGGCUGCAGUGAAACUCUCACAGGAACAGAAGCACAAAGAUUUAACAGUCACUUAGAAAUCGGUGACACCGUGUGAUGUGCGGUUGGUUAAUAAAACAGGGUAGGCAGCUUUGAGAGGUAGCGCAAGCAAAGUCUGUAUGAAACCGUGUAAGAGUACACCACCACAGCGGGAAUCAGCAAAGCUAGCAUUCGUACUGAUAACGAGCCAGGCCUUUUUUUUCCUUUUUAGUUUACAAUUUAUUUUUUUGCAUAAUGUGAUUAGUAAACAGGCAUGCUACAUACAGAGUGGGCGGAGUGAAGGUGCGAAUGGGAUGGACGGGACCUCGUGCUGCAUUCAUGUCAUACUGGAAGUAUUUGUGUUGGUUUACGACACGUUUCUGAUUUUUUGUGUGAAAAUACAGACAAUGAAACCUGCGCUAAAUAAAGUUCUAUAUUUAACAAAUGUUGUGACGCUGUCGACAAACGUACAUCUAAGCCUUAAACAACCACCUCUGCAGUGACACAGUCGAUGAUGCGACUAAUAACAUUUGUGAAAUAUGACAUGAAUGCAGCACUACAAGACCCUCCUUUCCUCCCCCACCUCUGAGCCUGACCUCACCUGACCUUACCUGUACACUCUGAUUGGCUCUCAGUCCAAACGUGUCACCUGAUCUCCUUAAAGACCUGCAGUGCGUUUUUGGCACUGAGGUGACUGCAGUUACAUCUCAGUGACAAACCUAGACCGGCUGAUGGGUUACCUUCCAAUUAACAUCCCAUACUGUUUAUUUACAUAGUGCUACUCAGUUAGCUCGCCUGCUAACUGAGGCUACAGUCUGUAUAAAAGCAUUCAGUAAUAAAUACUCCAAGCAUGCACAGGUUAUAGGAGAUGAAGGGCUGAUUUAGUUCCACAACAACAGCUUAUAUCCUCAAAGAACCCCCAAAAUUUCUGUUAGCACGCACACAUUUCCACACAGAGAGGCUAAAAGAGAAAGCAGUCCUGUGCUGAUUGACGUGCACUCUCUGGUAUUUGGCACAGCGUCACGCUGAGGCUCGGCAAGCUGAGAGAACGGCGACUGGACGAGGACAAAAUGAACGUUUUGAGAGGUUUUCUGUGUAAAACUCAAGCAGUUAAACAGCCAGUGUGCUCUAAAUGGGGUCAUGUCAUAACCACAGCUACACCUGACAACUAAAAAUGAGUGUGUGGCCCAGAAUCGCAUUUCAACAGCAAUAAAAAUCAUGAUUUCAGGUUUCCUAAACAGUGUCUGGCUGCAGACAGUCCCUCCUGGCUUCGUGUACAGUGGAUUUGAUGAAUCAUCAGGUAAACUGUAAACUCCAUCACAAACAUCUGUAAAUGUUGGAUGGAUUGAUAAUGCCAAAGCUGUUUCACAGCUGCACACUAAUCAGAUUUGGGCAUUAGCAUUAGCAUUAGCAUAGUUUAACUUGGAAAAUGAAAGGCUUGUAAGAAAGAAGGAG
ensembl:lncRNA